rnacentral:tRNA from 1 species
UUCCCUGUAGCGCAAUGGAUAGCGCGUUGGACCUCUAAUCCAAAGGUUGUGGGUUAGAAUCCCGCCUGGGAUG